rnacentral:rRNA from 1 species
AGCACGUAGGUGGGUUUGUAAGUCAGGUGUGAAAGCCUUCUGUUCAAAGGAAGAACGGCAUCUGAAACUGCAGAUCUUGAGUGUAGGAGGGGAGAGUGGAACUUCUGGUGGAGCGGUGAAAUGCGUAGAUAUCAGAAGGAACGUCGGCGGCGAAAGCGACUCUCUGGCCUAUUACUGACACUGAGGUGCGAAAGUUAGGGGAGCAAACGGGAUUAGAUACCACGGUAGUCCUAACCGUAAACGAUGGGCACUAAGUAGAGGGAAUUACCAAUGUUCUCUCUGCCGUAGCUAACGCAUUAAGUGCCCCGCCUGGGGAGUACGGCCGCAAGGCUAAAACUCAAAAGAAUUGACGGGGGCUCGCACAAGCGGUGGAGCAUGUGGCUUAAUUCGAUGCAACGCGAAAAACCUUACCGGGGUUUGACAUGGUAGAAGUAGGAACCCGAAAGGGCAACCAACGGUAUCCAGUCCGUAGCUAUCACAGGUGUUGCAUGGCUGUCGUCAGCUCGUGUCGUGAGACGUUGGGUUAAGUCCCCUAACGAGCGAAACCCUUGUUUUUAGUUACCAUCGGGUAGUGCCGGGUACUCUAAAAAGACUGCCGUCGUCAAGACGGAGGAAGGUGGGGAUGACGUCAAGUCAUCAUGGCCCUUAUACCCCGGGCUGCACACGUGCUACAAUGGUCGGUACAAAAGGAUGCAAGACCGAGAGAUGAAGCGAAUCC